GACAGAGGAGGCAAUCGUUGUUCGGAAUCAUUGGGCUUAAAGCGCGCGUAGGCGGCCUUGUAAGUGUCUUGUGAAAUCCCACGGCUCACCCGUGGAACUGCAGGGCAAACUGCAAGACUUGAGGUCGGUAGAGGCGCCUGGAACUCUAGGUGGAGCGGUGAAAUGCGUAGAUAUCUAGGGGAACGCCGGAGGCGAAAGCGGGGCGCUGGGCCGAUUCUGACGCUGAUGCGCGAAAGCGUGGGGAGCAAACAGG
rnacentral:rRNA from 1 species